UCGAGGUCUCCUACAUGCUCAAGCUAGGCCCAGUGUGGCAUUCAUUUCUGACGCCUGUGGAUCUAGGUGUAGAACUCUCAGCUCCUCUCCAGCACCAUGUCUGACUUGAGGCUGCCAUGUUUCCCCACCAUGACGAUAAUGGACUAAACCUUUGAAACUGUAGGCCAGACCCAAUUGGAUGAUUUCCUUUCUAAGAGUUGCCUUGGUCAUGGUGUCUCUUCCCAGCAGUAGAACCCUAAGGAAGACAAGCCAGUCAGCGAAGCAGGGCGUUGAUGGAGAACCCCUGCAGAGAACCCACCGAUGCUGAACAGUUACUGUACUUACUCAGUGUGGGAAACAUGAUAGCAACCUGUGUCCUAGAGUGCGGCUGGGGUACUGUCUGUCCACCAUGCUAAGGUGAGCCGCUCACAACCAUCUUUGCAUGGUCUGCCUGACCAUGACUCUUCCUCUUGGGCUCCACGAAGGUGUAAGCAAAAUCCCAGAAAUAUGCAAACAGUUUUGUUUUGUUUUAUGUGUAAUCUCAUACCAUAAAGCAAUUCUUAUUUUUAACUUUAUUUAAUGUGUAUGAAUAUUUGCUUACAUCUAUGUGCACCAUGUGAAUACAUGGUGCUCUCAGAGGCCAAAAGAAGGCAUUAGAUGCCCUGGAACUGGAGCUACGGAUCAUUGUGAGCCACACUAUGUGGUGCUGGGAACCAAACUCAGGUCCCCUGGAGGAGCAGCUGUUGUAAUCACUGAGUCAUCUCUCCAGCCCCCUCAUUGUUCUUGUUCUCAUUCUGCUGUAGUUUUUGAGAUGUAUUUAUUUUAUGUAUGUGAGCACUCCGUCACUGUUUUCAGACACACCAGAAGAGGACAUUACAGAUGAUUGUGAGCCACCAUGUGGUUGCUGGGAAUUGAACUCAAGACCUUCAGAAGGGCAGUCAGUGCUCUUAACCACUGAGCCAUCUCUCCAACCCUUCUGCUGUAGUUUUUAAAGGUGGGUUAUUAGCUCAGGCUAGCCUCACUCCAGUUCAGAAUAACCUCCAGUUCACGGCAAUUCUCCUGCCUCAGCCUCCCAAAUGCUGAGACUACAGGCAUGAUCAUCAUAUCUUCUUGCUUUUGCUUUUACUUUUUGCUGUGUGUGUGUGUGUGUGUGUGUGUGUGUGUGUGUGUGUACGCUGUGACUCGAGCACAGACCCUUCUAUGUGCUAAGCAAGAGCCUAACACUUAGCCCCACCCUGCUCCUAAUGGUUCCUGAGAAGCAGCCAUUUCCUCCUAACUGUAGCAACAAGAACAUCAAACUUGCUCAGUUUUACCAGCUUAGUAGAUUAAAAACCGGCAAGCAGGACUGGACAGACGUCUCAGCAAAUAAGCACUUGCUGCUCUUCCAGAGGACUAAGUCCAAUCCCCAGCUCUGUGCUGUGCUAUUCACAGCAACCUGUAAACUCAGGCUGGCCUCUGAUGGCACCUGCACACUCAUGGUAUGUACUGAGUCAUACAUAUACAUGUAAGUCAAAAAUUGUAAACACGGCGAGCAAAUUGUGCUGAUUGCCUCUUCCUUUUCUCCCUCCUCCCCCUCAUGUCGUUCUUUUAUUAUACUGAUCUGGAAAAUCAAUCUAAUUUUUUUUCUUUUCUUUUUUUUUUGGAGCUGGGGACCGAACCCAGGGCCUUACGCUUCCUAGGCAAGCGCUCUACCACUGAGCUAAAUCCUCAACCCCCGUAAAUCAAUCUAAUUAAAGUGGGUACUAGACCCAUGUGGCAUAGGCAAAAAUAACUGUUCAAUGAUUCUGAAGUCAGACACGAUACAAGUGUGUGCUUGUGUAUGAUCAAGAGGCAUUUUGCUGUCACAAGUCAAGGUGGAGAGAGGCUCAAAGUGUAAGGCACAGCAGAUCCAUCUCUUAGAAAACAAGUUCAUCCUGUAUUUGUGUGAGGAACAGUUUGUUGUUUGGUGACCACAGAUGAGACUCUUUUAGCUGCCACUAGAAACCCUAGAAGAGGUUUCAUUUAGUAUUAUACAUAUAUACGUGUGCAUACAUACAUGUGUUUGUAUAUAGCUGUGAGUGUAUGCUAUACUGUAUAGGGAUCAUGUGUAUGUGUGUGCACACGUGUGCAUGCAUUUGUUUAAAGUAAAUCUAACACAUAAUAUUAAUUCAAGAUUGAUCCCAACCUUCUGGAGUUUGCUCCACUGGGGUCAGGGAAGAAAUUUUGUUUCUGUUUUUAUUUUUGUUUUUAACUCACAGUGAUGGUUACAUUCAUCUUCCACUGGAAUGAAUAUGUCCUCCGUAGCCCAACUGCUGAAGAGUGUCGGGCAGUCCACAGGGACAAAAAUGGGCUCUGGCUUCUCACUGACUGCCUCAGUACGGUCCCUCCCUGGCCUCUGCCCAAGCAGGUCCUUAGUAAGCCAAGUACUAGGGGAAGCUAGAAGUGCUACAUCUCAAUUCCUCUGACCCAACGCCCUGCACCCAGAGGUGCUGUUCUUAAUGGAUUCUGUGAAGGGAGUAACACAAAGAGCCAAAAUGCCAGCAUGAAGAUGGGAGCCCCAGGUAAGCAGGAGACUUUGAUGAGGAUCAGCUGCUCUCUGGUGAGAGUCUGGAGGACACUGUUCCUGGUUCUGGGGUUAAAGGUGUGUGUCAUGACACCCUGCUGGCUUGAAAUUCUUGUCCAGUCACAGACAGUGGGAACCAGCUGGCAGGUUCAGCUCUAUGCUGGCCUCAUUUGAGAGCCCCAUCUGAUGAUCCACCAUGAUGCUACAGAUGGUUGUGAGCCACCAUGUGGUUUCUGGGAAUUGAACUCAGGACCCCUGGAAGAGCAGUCAGUGCUCUUAACCACAGAGCCAUCUCUCCAGCCCUGUAACGCUUCUCUUAAUCCUUCCCUCAUACUAUUAUGCUCCUACAGAGGUUGCCCAUAUGACACACAUGAGAAAGAGGUGCAGAAGCAUGAACAGGCAGGAAGAGUGUCCUGGGGACGCUGACUCCAUGCUCACUUCAUUUCUUGGCAUCGGCCCGCACAGCCACAACUUGAAUGGUUUUGCAAACCAUCAUCUUCUCACCCAUUAGAAACCGUUUGGGUCAGAUUUGAUAGCUUGUUGGUAAGGUGAGGUCCAGCUUGUCUCCACUAGGUCAUCUUCAUGUGAAUCCGGUGGUUAUACGGUUUUGUUCUAGGGAUAUUUCAUUUUUUUAAUAACGGUUUUAGCUGACAUUCAUGGAGAGAAUGAAUCCUUAGAAGUGUGCCACUAGUGAAAGGAAAUCCUGUCUAGAGUAUGUUUCUUUACAAAGCUGUGUCACACCAUCCUUUGGGCCCUCUGCUGGAAAAGUAGAAUCAAGUCUCAAAUAAUGCCUUUUAAAUUGUAUCCUCUAGUAUUAUAGAUGUAGGACAGUACUGUAUCAUACCUCUGUGGAUGUAAAAUAGCUUGUACCUGCUUUAUGAUACGUAGUAGUGACCGUGCUUUAUCAGAGCUGUUUUUAAUGAUGUUGCUCAGAAUGUUUUCUUUCCAGAUGAUGAUUGAGAAGCUAAUUUAAAAAAAAAUGGUGCCAGGUACCACAAGAUUAACAGAACUGUGCUGUUUUCUCAGGUUUUGUUUUUUUUACUUUUUUUUUUUUAAUGGAGUAUGCUGGAUGUCUCUACAGUUUUGUUCAGAUGACUGCAGAACCUGGAAAAGCUGUUGCUGCUGUUGAUGCAUAACACACUGCUAUUAUUGGUCUUUUUAUAUAAAUAUAAAUAUAUAUAUACAGAUAUAUAAUUUGAAUUUUUUGAAACUUUACCUGUGCUGUCAACUUUGGAAAAAAGUAUCCCCAUUUACUGUGUUGAGUUGGCACUGUACAGAAAUUAACAGCCAUAUUGGUCUAGAAAUGUUGAACUUAAGUUUUUUCCAUUUGUACAGGGGUAACACACUGUAUUAAAUAUGUAAGGUCUUAUAUACGUGGGUUUGAUUACAAAAACUAAUAAAGUAUUCUCUAAAUUAAAAAAAAUAAAAAAAUAAAAAUAAAUAAAAAAAAUAAAAAAAAAGAAACCGUUUGGGCUCGACACUCUUGCUGCUGCUGCUGCUGCUGCUGCUGCUGCUGCUGCUGCUGCUGCUGCUGCUGCUGCUAUUUUGAAACAGGGUCUCACUAUGUAGCUCUGAAUGACCUGGAACUCUGUAGAACAGGCUAGCCUCAAACUCACAGAUAUCCAACCUUCCUCUUCUUCCCGUAUACUGGGAUUAAAGAUGUGUGGCAUGACACUCAGCUCACUUGAAUUCUUGUCCAGUUCAUAGUCAGUGGGAAACAGUUGGCAGGUUCAGCUCCACUCUGACUUCUUCUGGGAGCCUCUUCUGAUGUUCAGCCAUGUUGCCAUCCGAUAUAUUAUGAUUCCCCCUCUCCCUUAAUCCUUCCCUCUCAGAAGACGGCUGAUGCCCAGAGAGGCCUGGCUCCCUGCAGCCUUACUGAUGCUGCUGUGGAAGGGAUGGACCAGCCCAUCAUGAGUGGCGGGAGAUCACUAAGAGCAUCAUCUCAGCAGGCUGGUCCUCACCAUUCCUGGAAACAGUCUCCACUUUACUGAGGAUGAUUCGACCCCAUAGCGCAGUUCACGAGGCCCCAAGGACUCCGCCAGCCACAUCUGCUGGCGUCCAGAGCUUCCAAUUGUUGGCUUUUCUCUGCACCACAGUGAAGCAGCUCGUAUCAGGCACCUCACAGCCACUCGCACUGAGUUCUUCACAUCCUCACGGUCACCAGGCUCAGCUGUGAUGCCAUGGCACGUGUGUGGAGCUCAGAUGACAACACUGUGGAGUGGAUUCCUCUUUCCAACUUUACGUGGAUUCCAGGUUUUAUCAGCGGCCAGAACCUACUUGGCUUACGAGUUACAGCCCCCAGGGAAGGAGCUGGAGGAAUGACACUGACCACAGUGAUCUGGACCCUGGUAUAUCCACUAGCAACUAAGAAAAUGCCCUAGGGACACUGACAGACAGGCCAACCCUGAUGAAGGUAACUCUUUAACUGAGGGCUCCUCUUCCACAUAACUCUAGUUUGUGGCAAGUUGACAAAAACAAACCAGAUCUUUGGGAUCUCUCUCUCUCUCUCUCUCUCUCUCUCUCUCUCCCUCCCUCUCUCUCUCUCUCUCUCUCCCCCUCCCCCCCCCUCUCUCUCUCUCUCCCUCUCUCUGUGUGUGUGUGUGUGUGUGUGUGUGUGUGUGUGUGUGUGUGUGUGUGUGUUAAUGUAUCUGGUCAUAGUCACCUCCCUCACCCUCACUUACUCCACUUCCAUUCACUCUGAAUCCUUUUCCUCCCCCUCCUACUGAGUUUAACUAGGUUUGUUUGCCUGGGUAGGGGUAUGUGGUUACUUACCAGACAGUUGUCAGUGGCUACACCACUGGAGAAGAAAAGACUCCUCCUCUUUUAGCAGUCAUUAACUGGGGGUGGGACCUUACGAGACCCUCCCAGUUGUGAUGGAAUGGUAACAGGUCCAGCCAGUCACUUCCGCUAUGAGUCCAUAGUACAUCAGUCACGUCGUGUCCAGAAGACAGUGUUUCAACACACGCCAUCCCCACUCUCACGUGCUUACCACUCCUUCUUCUGAGAUGAUCCCCGAGCCAUGCAGGGGUGAGAUAGAUGCCUUAGAGUUGAACACUCAACAUCUUGACCAGUUAUGAGCCUCUGUGUUAACAAAAACUUGAAAGAAUACCACACUAACAGAGUGACACACUUUUGUUCCCUGAGACAUGGAUUCAUGUACCCUAAGCUGGCCUCCAACUCACUAUGUAGCCGAAAUAUGAUUCUGAACUAUGCACCUCCUACCUACAACUCCCAAGUGCUGCUGAGAUUGCAGGGGUGUGCACCACCAUCCCCUGUUUAUAUGGGACUGGGGGAGGGGGGGAUCCAAGGCUUCGUGCACAUCACACAAGCUUGAAUCAACUAAGCUAUGUCCCAGCCCUUCUCCGUCUGGCUUUUUUUUUUUAAAUAUUUAUUUAUUUAUUUUAUGUGUAAGUACACUAUAACUGUCUCCAGACACACCAGAAGAGGGCAUCAGAUCUCAUCACAGAUGGCUGUGAGCCACCAUGUGGUUGCUGGGAUUUGAACCCAGGACCCCCGGAAGAGCAGUCAGUGCUCUCAACCGCUGAGCCAUCUCUCUAGCCCCUCCGUCUGGCUUUAAAUAUACUCUUUUUGGUUUG